rnacentral:rRNA from 1 species
GUGAGGAAUAUUGGUCAAUGGGCGGGAGCCUGAACCAGCCAAGUCGCGUGAAGGAAGAAGGAUCUAUGGUUCGUAAACUUCUUUUGCAGGGGAAUAAAGUGCGGGACGUGUCCUGUUUUGUAUGUACCCUGAGAAUAAGGAUCGGCUAACUCCGUGCCAGCAGCCGCGGUAAUACGGAGGAUCCGAGCGUUAUCCGGAUUUAUUGGGUUUAAAGGGUGCGCAGGCGGGUUGAUAAGUCAGCGGUGAAAGUUUGCAGCUUAACUGUAAAAUUGCCGUUGAAACUGUCGAUCUUGAGUGCAAAUGAGGUAAGCGGAAUGUGUUGUGUAGCGGUGAAAUGCUUAGAUAUAACACAGAACACCGAUUGCGAAGGCAGCUUACUGGGAUGCAACUGACGCUCAUGCACGAAAGCGUGGGGAUCAAACAGGAUUAGAUACCCGAGUAGUCC